UUAAAGGAUUUGGAACAACAUGAGGUGUCUAUGUGUGUAGAUUUGGAACCUCAGUGUUUUGUGACUCUUGAAAACCAGGUCAGCUCAUGCGUCCCGUGAACAACCUAUUAGGUGACAGAUGAAGAUAUUGCCCGCAGAAACACUCCUCCUUGGUGAACAGCUGCUGUUGCAAUAGAAGGCAAAUUGAAAUCAGAUCAGAAAGACAAGCAAAGAAGAGAGUGGUAAGUAUGUUUUAAUCAUAUCAAUGAAUCUCACGUUUAAUUCUGGCUGACAUAUUUCCUAAUAAAGUGGCUGUUGGGACUCUGAGUGUCAUGCUAACUUUGGAUUCAGCACUUCUGGUGUAGAGAUGUUAGGCCUCUUCUAACCGUAUGUUCAGUGUAACACAGAAUAUUGGAUGGUGACGACAUAAAAACAGACGCUCAUGUCAAACUUGAUGAGGAUUUAGUCCAAGCUUUGAAAGACCCUGUGAUGAAGAAAUUUAAAAUACCACAGUGUCUGAAUUGCAAGCCCUCAGAUGCAGGAAAUGCAACAAGUCGUAGUCAAAGUGAUCCUCCACUUGAAGAUGAAGAUGGUGACAAUUGAAAUGUUCUGUUUCUUUGUUUGGUUUAGCCAUUUGCAGGUUUAACUUGAGUUUGAGACACAAACAAAGAAAAUGCACUUUAUUCACUUCUGUGCUUUGUUGUUUUUCUGUAACUUCUUUGUGUGUGCAGAAAAUUGCAUUGUGAUUCAUUUUUAUUGAGUGAUGGAAUAUUCAUAGUGUACUUUCCAGUAAUACAGGUAUGACAGAAAUGUUCUACAAAUUGAAUGAAGUAGUUCUGUUAUAGCAUUUCGCUGAUCUUUAUUUUAAUUUAUUAUCAAUCAAUCAAUCAAACUUUAUUUAUAAAGCACUUUAAAAACACAGAAGUGGCCAAAGUGCUGUACAGAAAAAUACAACUCAUACAACACCUAAAAUACAACUAAAACACAUUAAGAUAGCAUAGAAAGCUAAAAUAAAUAACCAAAUAUCAACAUCAGGUGUCAAAAGCCAAGGAGAAAAGAUGUGUUUAAGAGACGAUUUAAGUAAAGAUAAUGAAGAGGCCUGUGUAAUGGGCAGAGGCAAAUCAUUCCACAAUUUAGGAACUGCCACAGCAAAGGCACGGUCCCCUCUAAGCUUACGCUUUGUUUUGGGCACAUUCAGGAACAGCUGAUCAGACUACAGACUAUCUUUUCGAUAUAAUUAUUUUGGUCAAUUGUUUAUAUAUACUGCUGUACUUUUUAAAUGUACUCAAGGAAUGUAUUGUUGUA